rnacentral:lncRNA from 1 species
GGGUCACUUAUUUCAUGAUAAUAUAGAAUAAUAUAUUUAUUCAUUUUCUAAUUAAUUUACAUAAUGAAAUAAUUUGAACUCACAAAUCAAUAAAAAAGACAAACUAAACAUAUCUAUUUAAAUUUUUAACACACGAGAUUGUAACAUAAAUAUUAUUAAAAAAAAAUUUAUUUUUCUGUCAUGUGAUCAAUUUGUUGGUAACCCGAACACAAUAGCUUUAGAGCAGCCAUAACAAUUAUUUCACAUAAUCAAUUGCCUUAGUUUGAUUUAUACACAUGUCUAAAGUGAUUAUAAGCGAGAGAGAUUUGAAUUAACAGGAAAGUAAGAAACUAUAAUCGGAGCUCUUGAUGAUAAUUUAGAUUCGCUCUUGUUUUUACUCUUGGAUUUAAUAGAAGAAAGUGCUCUUCCGGGGUGAGAUACUUUUGCAUCAUUGGAGACUCGAGAGGAGGAUUUCGAAGCAAAACAACUGAAAAUUGCUGAGAAGAGAGCCAUUGAAUCUUGUCCAAACUUGACUUCAACUCUUGCUAGCUUUGAUGCUUGAAAUGUUUUUAGAUGGGUAGGAAUGUUUCUGUCCUUACAGAUAGUGUAUGUAUGUUUGUUU